rnacentral:rRNA from 1 species
CCGAGUUGUAAUUUGCAGAGGGCGCUUUGGCGUUGGCAGCGGUCCAAGUUCUUUGGAACAGGACGUCACAGAGGGUGAGAAUCCCGUACGUGGUCGCUAGCCUUCGCCGUGUAAAGCCCCUUCGACGAGUCGAGUUGUUUGGGAAUGCAGCUCUAAAUGGGAGGUAAAUUUCUUCUAAAGCUAAAUACUGGCCAGAGACCGAUAGCGCACAAGUAGAGUGAUCGAAAGAUGAAAAGCACUUUGGAAAGAGAGUCAAAUAGCACGUGAAAUUGUUGAAAGGGAAGCGCUUGCAGCCAGACUUGCCUGUAGUUGCUUAUCCGGACUUUUGUCCGGUGCACUCUUCUGCGGGCAGGCCAGCAUCAGUUUGGGCGGUUGGAUAA